rnacentral:misc_RNA from 1 species
UGGGAUUUAACUGUCAGAUUUGAAGCUGGAAAAGGAAUCAUGUCCUGAGCAUAAAUCUUCUUUAUGUUCAGGAGUUAAGAGUGUCGAGACUUGUUCUGUUUGCAGGCUGGACAAGAAGGAUAAUACUAAGGAGUCUCCACCUUUUGAGACUUCUUUUUGGCUCAGAUCUUAGCAUUCUUCCUUCAGUGACCAAUGGCUUGAGAUAGAUUAAAUAAAAUAGGAGCAAGACGCUAACGAGGAUCAUUAACUAAUAAUACCAAAUGAAUCAUUAAUUAA